CAAUAGCGUAUAUUAAAGUUGUUGCAGUUAAAAAGCUCGUAGUUGGAUUUCGGGGCAGCCUGGCUGGUCCGCCGCAAGGCGAGUACUGGUCAGCCGCCCUUCCUCUCGAAAGCCCCGACUGCUCUUCGUUGCAGUGGUCGGGUAGUUCGGGACGUUUACUUUGAAAAAAUUAGAGUGUUCAAGGCAGGCCUACGCCUGAAUACAUUAGCAUGGAAUAAUGGAAGGGGACCUCGGUCCUAUUUUGUUGGUUUCCAGGGCCGAAGUAAUGAUUAAGAGGGACAGUUGGGGGCAUUCGUAUUUAAUUGUCAGAGGUGAAAUUCUCGGAUUUAUGAAAGACGAACAACUGCGAAAGCAUUUGCCAAGGAUGUUUUCAUUAA
rnacentral:rRNA from 1 species